GUCACUUUAAACAGCUGACCCCAACCGAGACUCUUGCAGUUCAUAUCUAGCAGGGAGCGCGAUCUGUAGCAUCCUAUAGCAAACAGAAGACAAAGGAACCAUCCUUUUGACUUUGGGAGGGAUCCCAACAUGAAAAUUUGGUUAGCAGUGUUGCUGGGAACAUGUGAUUUUGUGGGGCAACACAUCCAGAUCAAGUCCCUGGACCAAAAUGGGUUGCAUGACCCUGUAUUGAUGCUUCUUCUGGAGAAGGAAUUCUUCUCUUAUGUGCUUACAGGCAAAUUCUCUCCAAAUACCUAAACAGCAGGCAUGUAUCUUUUUCCAUUGUCUGACAUACCGUCACCAAGAUAGGUCUGUCAGUUUGGGGUGGGGUGGAGUGGGGAGGGGAGAAAGCAGACACGAUCAGAAGAUAAAGCCUGAAGGGAGAAGCACACCAGAACACAAAUGAGGAGUAGAUACCACUGCAAAGCACUAUGCACCCCUUCAGUGAACACCAUUAUAAUCUUUAUAUUUACCACUCCUCCUAUACCAUGACUUCUCAAACUGGGGUCAUAAUCCCCUGAGGGUUGAAAACAGGUGUCAAGGGUGCACAAGAACCAACCAAAAUGUGGAACACCUAUAUUUUAUGUGUAACACCAUAAUUUGCAGAUUAUAAUAGUUUGUAAUAAUAAAAUCUGCUUUAAAGUUUGUUUUCUCACUGUGUGGAUUAAAUAAA